rnacentral:rRNA from 1 species
AUACGGAGGAUCCAGCGUUAUCCGGAUUUAUUGGGUUUAAAGGGUGCGUAGGUGGUUUGAUAAGUCAGCGGUGAAAGUUUGCAGCUUAACUGUAAAAAUGCCGUUGAAACUGUCGGACUUGAGUGUAAAUGAGGUAAGCGGAAUGCGUGGUGUAGCGGUGAAAUGCAUAGAUAUCACGCAGAACUCCGAUUGCGAAGGCAGCUUACUAAGUUACAACUGACACUGAAGCACGAAAGCGUGGGGAUC